rnacentral:rRNA from 1 species
UAACUGUGAGCGUGCGGGCGAUACGGGCAGACUUGAGUACUGCAGGGGAGACUGGAAUUCCUGGUGUAGCGGUGGAAUGCGCAGAUAUCAGGAGGAACACCGGUGGCGAAGGCGGGUCUCUGGGCAGUAACUGACGCUGAGGAGCGAAAGCGUGGGGAGCGAACAGGAUUAGAUACCCUGGUAGUCCACGCCGUAAACGGUGGGUACUAGGUGUGGGUUUCCUUCCUUGGGAUCCGUGCCGUAGCUAACGCAUUAAGUACCCCGCCUGGGGAGUACGGCCGCAAGGCUAAAACUCAAGGAAAUUGACGGGGGCCCGCACAAGCGGCGGAGCAUGUGGAUUAAUUCGAUGCAACGCGAAGAACCUUACCUGGGUUUGACAUGCACAGGACGCCGGCAGAGAUGUCGGUUCCUUUGUGGCCUGUGUGCAGGUGGUGCAUGGCUGUCGUCAGCUCGUGUCGUGAGAUGUUGGGUUAAGUCCCGCAACGAGCGCAACCCUUGUCUCAUGUUGCCAGCGGGUAAUGCCGGGGACUCGUGAGAGACUGGCCGGGGUCAACUCGGAGGAAGGUGGGGAUGACGUCAAGUCAUCAUGCCCCUUAUGUCCAGGGCUUCACACAUGCUACAAUGGCCGGUACAAAGGGCUGCGAUGCCGCGAGGUUAA